rnacentral:rRNA from 1 species
UACGUAGGGUGCGAGCGUUAAUCGGAAUUACUGGGCGUAAAGCGUGCGCAGGCGGUUAUGUAAGACAGAUGUGAAAUCCCCGGGCUCAACCCUGGGAACUGCAUUUGUGACUGCAUAGCUAGAGUACGGUAGAGGGGGGAUGGAAUUCCGCGUGUAGCAGUGAAAUGCGUAGAUAUGCGGAGGAACACCGAUGGCGAAGGCAAUCCCCCUGGACCUGUACUGACGCUCAUGCACGAAAGCGUGGGGGAGCAAACAGG